GUCUAGCCUGCCACCUAAAUGGGUCUGCUGUCCUGUAAAAUGCAUUUUAAAAUACACAUACACCUCAAUUAAAACUGGUCUUGAAAGUAUUUGUACGCAGUACAGAAUGUUUCCAGAAUUGCUACUGCGUAUUAAAGAUGAGAAGCUCAAAGUGAAUCUGAAAUGCUAAGCAAAAAAAAGAGAAGUACAAUAUUGAUAUUAAUUUCCCCCUGGAAUUUGUAAAAAGAAAAAAAGCCUCCCACAUUUUCUGCUUUUAAAAUUCUGACAUUUUAAGCAACAGAGUCUUGCUUUAGAAUAAAAACAAUUUAGGAUCACUUUCACUUGUGCUGUUUGUCAGCUAGUUGACUUUUCACUUGAUGGUCCUAAGUCACGCCCCCAUCCCAACCCCCACCCCUGUCCAGUACACAUUGAGAGUUUGGGUUCCCAGUAGUUGUACAGACUGCAUAUCCUGAGCUCGUGAACAUUUUUAAGCAAGCAGAGAGGCAUCUUUCAAAUUCCUCAUCUAUGUUGAUGAGUCCGUACCUAGAAUUUACUUUUCAAGGUUUUUUUUUUUUUUUUUUUUUAAGAUUUUAUUUAUUCAUUUGACAGAGAUCACAAGCAGGCACAGAGAGAGGGGGAAGCAGGCUCCCCGCUGAGCAGAGAGCCCGAUGCCGGGCUCAAUCUCAGGACCCUGGGAUCAUGACCUGAGCCGAAGGCAGAGGCUUUAACCCACUGAGCCACCCAGGCACCCCUACUUUUCAAGGUUUUAUGACGCAGGAGGAAGGAGACGCACUGAUGCUGUCAUCAGACCUCUCCUGCAGCCUCCGCCCUCUCCCGGUGUCCAGGUGCCCAGGCUGCGCACUCUGCAGAGGCUGCCGCAGGAAACCCCCCCCGGACGUGCGGGUCCUGGAGACUGGCCAUCCUUUCUGCACCGUUUUGCUCUCUCUGACACCUAGGACCGCACCGACCGCUCAGCAGGAUCCUCCCCCGGCUCCCGCUGAAAAGUCACCCCCGGGAAUGGCUGUGGGACCAGGGCUCUGUGGCUUCUGAUUGACAGCUGUUGUGCGUUGUUUCUGGGUGGAGAGUUCCCAGGAAAUUGGGCCUCCCCUGCCAGCAGGUAGGAUGAGGGUGUGCGGACCGCCGGCGAGGACCGGGAGAACCGGAGGACCCAAGCAGUAGAUUCCUUUAGCUCAGCUUGCUCUUACCCCAUUACAUAGACAGCGGCCAACGUCAGGAGACCAGCGGCUCUGGGUGAAGGGACCUCACCAGCCCCUGGGACACGAUGGUGGUGACACAUACCUUAGCAGCUUCCGGUUUCAUCUUAGGGACAUGGUCAAAGAUGAGCUGGGCCCAGAGGGGCCUCGGUUGGGGUUGGGCAACCGCAGCUUGCGGCUGGGCCUCGGGAGUGGGAAGAGCUGAGUAAGGCUUCCCGGGAAGGCAAGUCCCCAAACCUUAUCAGUGAGCGGCGUCCCUCCACCCCCGCCCCCAGGCCUGCUUUCCGUGUGCUGGGGCUCUUCCUAGGCUCCCCCGGGCUCUCUCAUGACGCUGACACGAAUUAAGUUGAAUGGCUUUGAGUUGCAUUGGACUGAGCUGAAUUGGACUGAAAGGCCUUACAGCCAAGUGUGCCUCUUGCUGAAUGCCAGGCCCUGGGGAACUGCAGGCUCGUGGUACGGUCCCGUCCACACCCGCGGGGGCCUCUAUAGCGAUAAGACUCCAGACUCGUGGCAAGAAUAUGGGAUGAGAAGGGGCAGGGAGGGCCUGGGAGGCUCCAAGAGAACACGCUCUUUGGGCUGAGCUUUCAAGGACGGAGUGGGAGCUUUGGAGAGAAGAAUAUGAAGGCAAGAAGGACGGAACAGACCGGGGGGAGCCACGCAGAGGGUGUUUGGGGAACAGAGGGGAGAUGGCAGAGAAGCCGAUGACAGCGGUUCCCCUGAGAGAUGAUACCGACAUGCACGCGCAUAGACAGAGUCACCCAGAGAAGAUGCCUCACGACCGCCCAGAACAUCCCCCACACCUAAAGCAGAAUCCCAGGAAGUUAGCCCAGGAAUCUGCAUUUUAAAACGAGCACUACAAGCGAAAUCCGUGUUGGAGACUCACGGUCAGGGUCUGGGGGUGAGCCUCUGCUAGGUGACCAGUUCUGGUGUCAAGUAGGUAACUGUCACCCUUGGAGCAGGUCAGAAACAGACAGCUGGCCCCAGCCUGAGGGGACCUGGGUAUUUGCCUUGUUGGGCAUAUGUACCCAGGUGGGGGAUGGGGUGCUGCUGGACAGCCAGUCAGAGGAAGACCCUGCUGACAUGAGUUCCAAGAAUUCAGCCCACGGGUCCUUCUGAGGCUCCAGUCCUAAGAUUUGAAGCAUUCACAUUUGAUCAGCUGCGUCGUUGUCAUCUUUUUUUUUUUUUUUUUUUAAAGAUUCGUUGAUUAGAGAGAGGGAGGGAGUCCCAAGCAGACUCCUCAACGAAGCAUGGAGCCCGACGCUGGGCUCUAGCUCAUGACCCUGAGAUCAUGACCCGAGUCGAAACAAAGAGUCAGGAGCUCAACGAGACUGCACCACCCAGGCGCCCCGAAAACCUUAUUUAAAUGAACUAAGGGUCCCACCCACUCGGAAGAGAACUCAAGUCACAGGCAUCUAGUCCUAGGCCGUGGGAACCCUUUGCUUUUCCAAACAAAAAGAAACACAAAAAAGCAAGACACUUUUCUUGUGUCUCCAAAUUCUAGAAAGAUACGUGUAAUGAGAGGUGAGGGAAAGACACUGAGACCGCGGCCGACCGAGCUUGGCACCGCAGGAGCCCAGCAAACAGGCCCACGUGGCCCAGAACUCACGGGGCCCAGUCUUGGGAACGCGGGCCUUGUGCUCUCCUGAACAUCAAGGGAACGCUUCUCCCAGGAAUGCUGGUGGGAAUCCCUCAUGCUUCUGGGGAGCUUCCCCCGUGCCUGACCCUCUGCUGCCUGCUUCGCAAGCAGGAGCGCCUCCGCGCCAUGUUCUUCCCUCUCCCGGGACCCUAUCACGACCCGCAUGUCGGUGGUGUCAGACACACACAGAAAAGCAAUCAAGGGCAGCAUACUGGCCUCCUCAGGUGGCCACCACAAAUACCACAGCCCGGGUGGCUUCAGUGACAGAAGUUUAUCUGCUCACGGCUCUGGAGGCUGGACGUCCGAGAUCAGCCAUCAAGGUUGGUUUGUCCCAAGGCUUCUCUCCUUGGCUUGCGGAUGAUCACCUUCUCCCUGGGUCCUCGAGAGGCCUAUCCCUCCCGUCUGAGUGUCCAAAUUUCCUCUUCGGGUAAGGACACCGGUCAGAUUGGAUUAGGAACCCACUUAGGGCCUCAUUUUAUUCUUCGAAGGCCCCGUCACCAUAGGCAGUCACGGGCUGAGGUACGAGGGGGACAUGACUGAACGAGCGAAUCUGAGGGACACAAUUCAGCUCACAGCAGGCCGGAUUUCCUUUACUAUAAUCUUGCAUAUACGUGUGUGUGUGUGUGUGUGUGGUUAAGAGCUUUGAAUGACGUAAGAAGCUCCAUUCGUCAAGCUUAAGCUGUCCUUUACCUCACAACGCAGCUUAUCGUCAGAUAAAUGUUAUAUUUGCAGCCUCCUGAAAA